ACUUUUCCAUCUCAUAAUCGAUAACCUAUACCUAACCAAAGUACAUUUCAAGUUCAAUCCUCGACAGUUCGUAUUUGGCUCCAACUUCAAAUCAAGGUAAACUACAUUUUCAUUUUCUUUUAAAUUUAAAUAUUUUAAAUAAUUUGUGCUUUAUUUGUGUUAUAGAUGACUGUAAUUUGAAGUUAAGGGAAAAAAUCAUAUGUAAGUUACUAUUUAAUACGUUAACAUAUUCAAGUUCCUAAAAAAAAUUGAGAUUUUCAAUCGUUUCCCAUGUAAUGUUGGAUAAAAUUUUUAGUUUGUUUGAUUUUUUCACUAUUAUAUAAAAAGGGCAAUGUUAUCACUACUAUAAAAAGAACAGUAGAUUCUUCCAUUUUCUCACACUGCAACAAUUUUUUUUUCAUCUCUCGAGCGAAAACAAUGCCGUCUGCAAAUCAAAAAAAAAAAAAACAAAAACGUGCAGGCUACAGUGAUGCAUCCACUUGUCCUCAAUUUAGGUAGAUCUUUCUUUCUUCUUCUCCAUUUUCACACACUACUGCCUGUUCUCUCCAUUUUACCAUGUAAAUUAGCCCUAACUCUUUCUUCUCUCUGAGUUUCACUAUGGAGUGAACUAGGAUUGUUUGUUGUAUAUUUUAUAUGGAUUGAUUGAGGUCUGAUUGUUCUGAAUUUUACUUAUUCUUGUUUUUAUUGAAAUUUAUGGACGUUCUGUAACUCAAUUUCAUUUAACGGAGUUUGAUUGAUUUUUUCUUGCGUUUUGUAUGAAUUGAUUUCAUUUCAAAUUUUUGCUGUUAAUCUUUUUUUUUUGGGAUAUGCAAUGGAUCCAUACCAAAAUAUAAAAAAAAAAAAUGAAAUAUACACAUAUGGUGGUUUCUAUAUAAGUGAAUAUAAAACAAAUGUUUUGGUGAAACAAUGUAUCUAUUUGCGUAAUAUGUGUGCAAAUUUCUUAUGAACAUUAUGUUUCAAUUAAAAAGUUCCAAUGAAGGAAUGUUGUUGUAUUAUUUAAUUUUAAAUAUUUGGGAAUCAUUGAAAUGUGGAUGAAAUAUGUUGGUAAAUAAGAGAGUAAAUAAAAUUGAGUGUAGAAAUAGCAGAAUAGAUUAACACGAGUUGUAGAAAUGAACAAUAUGUUACCGAAAAAGUCUGAUCUUACUCUUCCCAAAAACAAAAAGUGCAGAGAAAAAAAUUAUUGAACUAUCUACGUGAGUGAUUAUUUGAUCUAACACGUUUCACAAAUUAUUUGAUUGCACUCAAAAUGUUACGAUUGAAAAUGUGAUUAAUAUGUCUAUCAUUUAUCUACAUUUCUGCUCAUUUGAAGGAUUCAUAUAAUCUUUGUAUAUAUAUAAAAAAAUUGAUCUAUAUUUUAUGUAUUUAUUUUAGGAAUCACGUCUAUUAAAAAAAUAAGUUGAUUAAAUGAAAUGAAAUUAUUGCAUUGAGAGCCGGUGAAAGAAAAAGAAAGAAAAAUAAUGAAAUUUGUGCCUCCAUAAUUACGGAGGCAUUUGACUCAAAAAUGUUGAGCCUUCAUAAUCAUGAAGGCUCAAAUGAGACUCCUUAAUUACGGAGGCUCAACAUUUUUGAGCUAAAUGCCUUCGUAAUUACGGAGGCUCGUGCUUGAUCCUCCAUGAUAACUAUGGAGGCCUCCAUAAUAAUGGAGGCAGCCUCAUAUUGAGCCUCCAUUAUUAUGGAAACCUCCAUAAUAACCUCCAUUAUUAUGGAGGCCUCCAUAAUAACGGAGGCUCAUGCUUGAGCCUCCAUAAUGGCCUCUAUAAUAAUUAUGGAGGCUCAAGCAUGAGCCUCCAUAAUUACUGAUGAGCCUCCAUAAUUACUGAGAUUCAAAGAAAGAAAGAGAGAGGAACUCACCCUUGGGCCACAAGAUCCUGAGAUACCUACAGUUUUAGACUUCUGAGAUUUUCAGGUUCUAACUUCUACUUUACCUUGAAUUAUUUCUUUACUGUACAAUAAUACAUUUAUAUCUAUUAUAAUUUGUUGAAGGAUGUACUGCUAUAGUGCUAACUUUUUUUGCUUGGAAUGCUUCUACUGUCCAGUGGAGUAUUUUUUUGACUAACUAUGGCUUGAAUUCUCAUUAUUAAUGGAUUUUAUUGAUUCUGCAAUUUUUGAUAGAAAAAUGAUAUUUGUGGAAGGAAGACGAGGAUCGACUCAUAUAAUUGGUUAGUUCCUUGUCAAUAAUUCCAUCUUCCCAUAUAUUUUCAAAUAUAUUCAAUACAUAUGCUAAUCAAACCAUAAUUCAUGCACAGCUCGUGCUUCACGCGUGGCAUAGACUAGUAUUUAUGAAAACCUUAGAUUUGUUCCUUUAUUUUUUCCAAUUUUUUUAUUAGUAUUCCUAUUCUUUAAACUAAAUUUGUUCAUGUUGGGUUUGUGACCCAAAUUCGAUCUAUGGUUGCGUGAUUUGGGGUAUUUGGCUUGAAGAUGUCAAAAUAGGGUCUAAGAAGAAAAAGUCGGAUUUACGUUGCUGGACGGCCGCUCACCCACCACCCACAAAACCCUAUCACCUAGUUGCUUGAUGUUUGCUAUCGCUCAAGCGACAGUGCUAGCGCUCACUUGAAGCGAGGCCAGUGCUUGAGCGAUGGCGCCAUGAGAAUUUAUUUUUUCAGGCGCAUUUUGACCUAAUUUCCAUAUUCUAGGUUAUUUUUAGGGUUUGGCAAUAUUCCCAAUAAAUAGUAGAUUCUUCAUUCAAUUUAGGUAUUGCUAGGAUGUCAACGAGUCGAGUCGAGCCGAUUUGGGAGCCGAAACUCGAGGCUCGGGCUCACUUCAGUAAAGUGAGAGAGCUCUCUUUGGGGCUCGACCCGAGCUUUUAGCUCGGGCCUUUUCAAGCCGAGUCCGACAUGCUCACUUUUUUUUGCUUAUUUUAUUUUAUUUUAUUAAUAAGGCAGCCGCAGAUAGUUGCCUUAAAAGGUAGUUAGCUUGCUGCCUUAAAGAGUUCUUUUUAAGGCUCGCGGGGCCGGCUAGGGCUCGGCCUGUCCUCCAAAAAUGGGGUCUCAACCCGAGCCUCGAGCUGGGUUGGCUUGGCCUUUUUUUGGGCCGAGCCACGGACGGCCCAAGCUGACGAGCCGAAUUGUCAUCCCUAGGUAUUGCUGUAACUAUAUUAUUCUCUCUAUUGGGUGUUGAAUAAAAUAAUCUAUUUUUCUGUCAAUCUAUUUCUUGCUUCUAGUCUUGCUUUCUGUGUGCGACUGUAUAAUUCAUAUUGUGUCAUAUAUAUUAACUUCAUCCAUUUUAUUUCCCAACAGUCCAUUUAGAAUUGUAAAGGAUUACUUAAUGUUUAAUAGUAUAUGUGCUUUGCUAAUGAAAAAGCAAAAAUAAGCAAAAAAAUAUAGUGCACUCUUAUUUGGUGGAUUACAUUUAAGUUGCACUUGGAAGCAAGAAUGUCAGAAAAUAUAUUACACUCUUGUUUAGUUUUGCUAUAUGGUUUUGACAAAUUUACUUGAUUUUGAAAUUUUAUAAAGGGUUUCUUUCCAAUUAUUUCACUGUUUUGAAAGUUAUCAUUAAGCUAAAUUCUUAUUGUAUUGUGUUAAGAAUGUGCUUUUAAGCUUGUAUCAAACUAGUUUCAGAUCAGCUUAGUUACAUUUAUUUGCAUGCUUGUUCAUUUAUGUAUACAUUUUUAUAUUUUUUAUCGAGUCAUUGGUUCAAUUUUAGAUUAAUAAAGAGUUAUGCUUGUUCUAUGAUUAUGUUUUCUCAAAGACUUGAUUAUUCAGUUUGUAAGUAUAACAAUUGAAAUGCAUAUAUUGGGAUCUUUUUUAUCUUUUACUGAUGGUGAUUUGUUGAAUGUAUUUAUGAGCAGUUUACGUUAUCUUCAUGAAAAUUUUUGAGUUGAAUUUAAAUGUAGACCAAAUUUGUGAGUUGAUAUGUUUUUAAAUUUGAUGCAAUGUGGUUCAAUUUGAGGAUUUAAACAUCUGAUUGAUGUUAACACAUGGAGAGUUCACAUGUAUUUCUUAUGAAAACUAUCUAUCGAGAUAAACUAUCAUUUAUGACUGUCAUGUUCUAAAAUUCCCGACAAUUGGUUAUUAUUUCUCGACAGUUGUGAUACAAUGUCAAACUUGUUUUAGCUGCUCUUCCACAUAUGUUACGAAGUAAAUGCAAUACAUAUCAUCAUCUGAACUUCAGUAUUUGUUCAUGUCACUGAUUUUUGCAGAUGAAUUUCAUAUUUGUUCUGGCAAAAGAGGAACAUCUAUAUGCGACAUAUCUCAACACUAUAGUUUGAAGUUCAUCAAGACGGUUCUUGAUAAAUGUACUUCCAAAAUUCUUGUCUUGGGUUCCUGACAAAUUUGCCUGACAAUAAACAUCUUAUUUUUACAUAGAUUGACAAACUAUGAUGUCAUUGAAGGAGUCCCUGAAGGGCACGUCAGCAUCGUCUUCUAGUGAAGGAGCUCACCCGAAGGUGCCCUCAAAUGCUACCAAUCCAAUUGAAAAUGAAGAAAUGGUAAUAAUGAAGAAACGACGACGCGAAUUCAAAUAUUGCAUGCUUCUAACCGAACUUCGUACAUUAGGAAUGGUAGGAAGUGAGGAAAAACAUGAAGUAGUUAAAAUUUGUUGAAUAGAAAACAUUGUCGUCCCUUUUUGAAUGGUUGAAAAUAGUGAAACUUGCAAGUUAUGAAGCUUAAUAAUCUAAUCUUUGUA
rnacentral:lncRNA from 1 species